GUCUGUCCAACCAAACCCAAUUUGCCCACUAUAAGCUGGUUAAGGAGUGGUAGAGAGAUAAUCCUGAAGGGCUGGUGAUGCCACUAUACGACUCUAAGAUGCAUUACUGAUUAACAAAACACACCCUCUCUCACACUCAGCAGAUGAGUGUACUACAGAGACCACUGAUGAAAAUUCCCUGUGUGUGUGCAUUUUUUUUUGUGUAUCCGUCUGAAUGGGCUUUUGUCUAUUCACUAAGUGAUUUGACUUUCUCUGUCUCUUCCCUUGUAUUGUCCUUCAUUCACCAUAAUACUGUCUAUUCCCUUGUAUUGUCCUUCAUUCACCAUAAUACUGUCUAUUCCCCAGUUGUCCUUCAUUCACCAUAAGACUGUCUAUUCCCCAGUUGUCCUUAAUUCACCAUAAUACUGUCUAUUCCCCAGUUAUCCUUAAUUCACCAUAAUACUGUCUAUUCCCCAGUUGUCCUUAAUUCACCAUACGACUGACUGACUUAUCAAUGACCCAAGACCAGCUCAGUAAAUCCCUACCAUUGUGUCGCUGAGUUGUCAUAACGCUGCAGAAAAUGUACAUUAUCCCAGGGGUGUUGGCAGACACAAUAGUCCUUGUCACGACGGUUGAAAGGAGAGGACCAAGGUGCAGCGUGGACCUGAGCCCUAGGACCAUGCCUCAGGACUACCUGGCUUGAUGACUACUUGCUGUACCCAGUUCACCUGGCCGUGCUGCUGCUCCAGUUCCAACUGUUCUGCCUGCGGCUAUGGAACCCUGACCUGUUCACCGGACGUGCUACCUGUCCCAGACCUGCUGUCCCAGACCUGCUGGAACCCUGACCUGUUCACCGGACGUGCUACCUGUCCCAGACCUGCUGUUUUCAACUCUCUAGAGACAGCAGGAGCGGUAGAGAUACUCUCAAAGAUCGGCUAUGAAAAAGCCAACUGACACUUACUCUUGUGUUACUGACUUGUUGCACCCUCGACAACUACUAUGAUUAUUAUUAUUUGACCAUGCUGGUCAUUUAUGAACAUUUGAACAUCUUGGCCAUGUGCUGUUAUAAUCUCCACCCAGCACAGCCAGAAGAGGACUCGCCACCCCUCAUAGUCUGGUUCCUCUCUAGGUUUCUUCCUAGGUUUUGGCCUUUCUAGGGAGUUUUUCCUAGCCACCGUGCUUCUACACCUGCAUUGCUUGCUGUUUGGGGUUUUAGGCUGGGUUUCUGUACAGCACUUUGAGAUAUCAGCUGAUGUAAGAAGGGCUAUAUAAAUACAUUUGAUUUGAUUUGAUUACUCCCUGUUCACCCAUGACUUCAUGGCCAGGCACGACUCCAACGCCAUCAUUAAGUUUGCAGACGACACAACAGUGGUAGGCCUGAUCACCUAUAGGGAGGAGGUCAGAGACCUGGCCGUGUGGUGCCAGAAUAACAACCUAUCUCUCAACGUAAUCAAGACUAAGGAGAUGAUUGUGGACUACAGGAAAAGGAGGACCGAGCACAGCCCCAUUCUCAUCGACCUCAAACCAAUUGAGAUGGUUUGGGAUGAGUUGGACCGCAGAGUGAAACAAAAGCUGCUAACAAGUGCUCAGCAUAUGUGGGAACUCCUUCAAGACGGUUUGAAAAUCAUUCCAGGUGAAACUGGUUGAGAGAAUGCCAAGAGUGUGCAAAGCUGUCAUCAAUGCAAAGGGUGGCUACUUUGAAGAAUCUCAAAUAUAAAAUAUAUUUUAAUUUGUUUAACACUUUUUUGGUUACUAUAUGAUUCCGUAUGUGUUAUUUCAUAGUUUUGAUGUCUUCACUGUUAUUCUGCAAUGUAGAAAAUAGUAAAAAUGAAGAAAAACCCUGGAAUGAGUAGGUGUGUCCAAACUUUUAACCGGUACUGUAUAUAAAAUAAAAACAUUAUUUUGUUGGACAUAAGACUGUGAAAUCACCAGGAAAUCAGCUCAAAGUGAUUUUAAUUCAGGAAAUCUAUUCCCA
rnacentral:lncRNA from 1 species